rnacentral:rRNA from 1 species
UACAGAGGGUGCGAGCGUUAAUCGGAAUUACUGGGCGUAAAGGGUGCGUAGGUGGUUAUUUAAGUUAGAUGUGAAAUCCCUGGGCUUAACCUAGGAAUUGCAUUUAAGACUGGAUAGCUAGAGUUUGAGAGAGGGAAGUGGAAUUUCCGGUGUAGCGGUGAAAUGCGUAGAUAUCGGAAGGAACAUCAGUGGCGAAGGCGACUUCCUGGCUCGAUACUGACACUGAGGCACGAAAGCGUGGGGAGCAAACAGG